GAGGCUGCCCCGGUGGAGGGG
rnacentral:miRNA from 1 species